rnacentral:rRNA from 1 species
CACGUAGGGGGCAAGCGUUGUUCGGAAUUACUGGGCGUAAAGGGCAUGUAGGCGGUUUUGUAAGCCUGACGUGAAAGGCUGCAGCUUAACUGUAGCACUGCGCUGGGAACUGCGAGACUGGAGUCACGGAGAGGUAGCUAGAAUUCCAGGUGUAGGGGUGAAAUCUGUAGAUAUCUGGAAGAAUACCAAUGGCGAAGGCAAGCUUCUGGCCGAUGACUGACGCUGAGGUGCGAAAGCGUGGGUAGCAAACAGG